rnacentral:rRNA from 1 species
CCUACGGGAGGCAGCAGUGGGGAAUAUUGCACAAUGGGCGAAAGCCUGAUGCAGCGACGCCGCGUGAGUGAAGAAGGACUUCGGUAUGUAAAGCUCUGUCAGCAGGGAAGAAAAUACCGGUACCUAACCACGAAGCAACGGACAACUCCGGCCCAGGAGCCGCCGUAAUACGUGGGGCGAAAGCGUUAUCUGGUAUUGCUGGGUGUAAAGGUAGCGUAGGCGGCAGGGCAAGACUGGUGUGAAAGGCGGGGGCUCAACCCGCGGACUGCAUUGGAAACUGGCAGGCUGGAGUGCAGGAGAGGGAAGUAGAAUUCCUGGUGUAGCGGUGAAAUGCGUAGAGAUUAGGAGGAACACCAGUGGCGAAGGCGGCUUACUGGACGGUAACUGACGUUGAGGCUCGAAAGCGUGGGGAGCAAACAGGAUUAGAUACCCGUGUAGUC